GGGGACUUAGCUUGGUUGGUAGAGCGCCUGCUUUGCACGCAGGAGGUCAGGAGUUCGACUCUCCUAGUCUCCACCA
rnacentral:tRNA from 1 species